AGGCCGAGCAGCUACUCCAGCCGCUGCACCUACUUGGUGACACCCUGCUGGGCUCUGGGGUCCUCACGAAGAGAGGCUGUGCCGGGACCAUGCGCCCAAGGUCCGAGGAUGUCCUCUGCGACCUGCGGCGGGCGUGUGGGUUCAGGCCCAAACGAGUCCCAGGAGUUUCUCAGCGCCUGGAAGUAGACGUGGUCUCUCUAGCCCCUGGCGUCAGUCUUUACCCUUCCUCUUCCUGGAGACCCGGGAGGCCGCGACGUGGAAAGAGAGGCGGGAAAGCCCGCACGGAGCUGCCCAAGUAGAGGGCGGUGGGGCUCAGGGGACUCUAAAGGCGAGAACUGAGGGUCGGAAGCCUGGGGACAAUCC
rnacentral:lncRNA from 1 species